rnacentral:rRNA from 1 species
UGGGGAAUAUUGGACAAUGGGGGGAACCCUGAUCCAGCCAUGCCGCGUGUGUGAAGAAGGCCUUCUGGUUGUAUAGCACUUUAAGCGAGGAGGAGGCUCUCUUGGUUAAUACCCAAGAAGAGUGGACGUUACUCGCAGAAUAAGCACCGGCUAACUCUGUGCCAGCAGCCGCGGUAAUACAGAGGGUGCGAGCGUUAAUCGGAUUUACUGGGCGUAAAGCGUGCGUAGGCGGCUUUUUAAGUCGGAUGUGAAAUCCCCGAGCUUAACUUGGGAAUUGCAUUCGAUACUGAGAAGCUAGAGGAUGGGAGAGGAUGGUAGAAUUCCAGGUGUAGCGGUGAAAUGCGAAGAGAUCUGGAGGAAUACCGAUGGCGAAGGCAGCCAUCUGGCCUAAUACUGACGCUGAGGUACGAAAGCAUGGGGAGCAAACAGG